rnacentral:lncRNA from 1 species
AAAGAACUUGUGCAAGUGACUCCUGAGACAAGUGCUCUUUGAGUCAUCUGUGUUCUUCCCUUUUAGUUUCUUUCUUUAAAACUUUGUCUGGGAUUUUGAGGUGAUUUUUUGAGCCACUCUAUUGGACACAGCUUGUGCUUAUCCUCUGGUGCCAUCUGCUGCUGACUGAUCCAGGUGACCAUCUGUAAGCAAAGCCCAGACUCUGGCAUACCUCCUGGCAAGAUGUCAUUGUUCAAGUUUUCCAAAGAAUUGAGGUCCUCAUGCUUCUCCAGAUGAUCUCAUGCAAGGGCCUGAAGUUUGCUUCUCAUUAUCAAUCUCAAUGGUGCCAAGAUGCUUGGAGACAAAGAUGCUUUAUGGUGCUGGCAUAUGUGAGGACAGAAGCAUCAGACUGAGUAUGAAGAAUUCCAAGGAAGUUUGCUCCAGCUGAAUCCAGAAGAUGAUCAGUCCUGGUAGGACAUAGCUGAAACUCCAGCCCCUGACCACA